GCCUCGCUAGCUCAAUCGGUAGAGCGUGAGACUCUUAAUCUCAAGGCUGCGGGUUCGACCCCCGCGUGAGGCU
rnacentral:tRNA from 1 species